GAUCAUGGCUCAGGAUGAACGCUGGCGGCGUGCUUAACACAUGCAAGUCGAACGGGAAACUUUUCAUUGAAGCUUCGGCAGAUUUGGUCUGUUCUAGUGGCGGACGGGUGAGUAACGCGUGGGUAACCUGCCUUAUACAGGGGGAUAACAACCAGAAAUGGUUGCUAAUACCGCAUAAGCGCGCAGGACCGCAUGGUCCGGUGUGAAAAACUCCGGUGGUAUAAGAUGGACCCGCGUUGGAUUAG
rnacentral:rRNA from 1 species